CAGUAGCCACGGUAAUACGUAGGUGGCAAGCGUUGUCCGGAAUUAUUGGGCGUAAAGCGCGCGCAGGCGGAUCAGUCAGUCUGUCUUAAAAGUUCGGGGCUUAACCCCGUGAUGGGAUGGAAACUGCUGAUCUAGAGUAUCGGAGAGGAAAGUGGAAUUCCUAGUGUAGCGGUGAAAUGCGUAGAUAUUAGGAAGAACACCAGUGGCGAAGGCGACUUUCUGGACGAAAACUGACGCUGAGGCGCGAAAGCCAGGGGAGCGAACAGGAUUAGAUACCCCCGUAGUCCCUGUCUCUUAUACA
rnacentral:rRNA from 1 species